UCCAAUGAUGGCAUGAAAUCUUUGAGACCUGAUUUUUAUUGAUGAAACGCUGUAAGCAUUUUUACUCUUGAGGAU
rnacentral:snoRNA from 3 species